CGGUCCUACAGUGUCUGACUGGAACAGUAUCACCAUCCCCCUUCUUGGGAGACGGUACAAGCCGACCCGUACGGAUAAUGCCGGACAGGUGAAAGUGUCCUGGUUAAAAACGGAAUUUCAAAAUUUUGAAAAUGUGCUCGCACCAGGUGGACAGGAGCAGGUCGACUGGGCCGUUAGAGCCUAUCUUUUGAUUGUCAUAUGGUCCUUGUGUUUCCCGGAUUUGAACAGCGGUAAGAUUGGACUGAGGAUCCUCCCGUUACUGGAAGACUUGACUAGAGUGCGGACCUACAGCUGGGGAUCGGCGACUCUCGCACAUCUAUAUCACGAGAUGUGCUUGUCCACUUUGAUUUCAGAGCACAGAAAGAACAUUGGGGGGGCCAUUUGGCUACUGUAGCUGUGGGCAUUCGAGCGACUCAGGCCGUUGAGGCCGAGGUUGAGAGGCGGUCUCAUCCAGCAGCACUUACCGUUGGGGGACAGAUGGGCAGGUCACCUCAAUUUUCAGGACGUUCCUAGACAAAACUUGGCGGCCAUGAGAUUAGCACUUGAUGAGAUGCGCUAUUCAGAUAUCGAUUGGCAGCCAUACUCCGAUC